rnacentral:rRNA from 1 species
GACAGGAGGUGCAACGUUGUUCGGAAUUACUGGGCGUAAAGCGCGUGUAGGCGGCCUGUAAGUCGGGUGGUGAAAUCCCACGGCUUAAACCCGGUGGAAGUCGCAUUCGAAACUACAGGGCUAGAGUUCUGGAGAGGAAGGUGGAAUGCUUGGUGUAGAGGUGAAAUUCGUAGAUAUCAAGCGAACACCGGUGGCGAAGGCGGCCUCUGGAC